GGUAACGUAGCUCAGCAGUAGAGUGCAUGCCUUGCAAGCAUGAGGCCCUCCCUGGGUUCGAUUCCUCAGCACCA
rnacentral:tRNA from 1 species